rnacentral:rRNA from 1 species
GAGUUUGAUCCUGGCUCAGGGUGAACGCUGGCGGCGUGCUUAACACAUGCAAGUCGAACGAAGAAGUUUUAGUUUACUAGAACAACUGAGUGGCGGACGGGUGAGUAACGCGUGGGUAACCUGCCCUAUGGAGGGGGACAACAGUGGGAAACUGCUGCUAAUACCGCAUACCUUAUUAAGAUUGCAUGGUCAUAAUAAGAAAGAGUUAUCGCCAUAGGAUGGGCCCGCGUCUGAUUAGCCAGUUGGUAGGGUAACGGCCUACCAAAGCAACGAUCAGUAGCCGGCCUGAGAGGGUGAACGGCCACAUUGGGACUGAGACACGGCCCAGACUCCUACGGGAGGCAGCAGUGGGGGAUAUUGCACAAUGGGGGGAACCCUGAUGCAGCAACGCCGCGUGAGUGAAGAAGUAUUUCGGUAUGUAAAGCUCUAUCAGCAGUGAAGAUGAUGACGGUACCUGCAUAAGAAGCCCCGGCUAACUACGUGCCAGCAGCCGCGGUAAUACGUAGGGGGCAAGCGUUAUCCGGAUUUACUGGGUGUAAAGGGAGUGUAGGCGGUACGGCAAGUCUGAUGUGAAAACCCUAAGCUCAACUAAGGGAGUGCAUUGGAAACUGUCGGACUAGAGUGUGGGAGAGGCAGGCGGAAUUCCUAGUGUAGC